rnacentral:rRNA from 1 species
UACGUAGGGGGCAAGCGUUGUCCGGAAUCAUUGGGCGUAAAGCGCGUGUAGGCGGCCCGGUAAGUCCGUUGUGAAAGUCCAGGGCUCAACCCUGGGAUGCCGGUGGAUACUGUCGGGCUCGAGUCCGGAAGAGGCGAGUGGAAUUCCUGGUGUAGCGGUGAAAUGCGCAGAUAUCAGGAGGAACACCGAUGGCGAAGGCAGCUCGCUGGGACGUGACUGACGCUGAGACGCGGAAAGCGUGGGGAGCAAACAGG